UCCCUGAUGGUCCAGCGGUUAAGACUCUGCAUUCCCAAUGCAGAGGGACUGGGUUUGAUCCCUGGUCAGGGAA